rnacentral:rRNA from 1 species
UACGUAGGGGGCAAGCGUUGUCCGGAUUUAUUGGGCGUAAAGAGCGUGUAGGCGGCCAGGGAGGUCCGUUGUGAAAACUCGAGGCUCAACCUCGAGACGCCGAUGGAAACCCCCUGGCUAGAGUCCGGAAGAGGAGAGUGGAAUUCCUGGUGUAGCGGUGAAAUGCGCAGAUAUCAGGAGGAACACCGGUGGCGAAGGCGGGUCUCUGGGCCGAUACUGACGCUGAGGAGCGAAAGCGUGGGGAGCGAACAGG